GGAUGAACGCUGGCGGCGUGCUUAACACAUGCAAGUCGAACGAGAAGUGAAGACGGAAACCUUCGGGCGGAAGGCUUUAUUUCGAGUGGCGGACGGGUGAGUAACGCGUGGGUAACCUGCCUCAUACAGGGGGAUAACAGUUGGAAACGACUGUUAAUACCGCAUAAGACCACAGCACCGCAUGGUGCGGGGGUAAAAACUCCGGUGGUAUGAGAUGGACCCGCGUUCGAUUAGCCAGUUGGCGGGGUAACGGCCCACCAAAGCGACGAUCGAUAGCCGAUCUGAGAGGAUGACCGGCCACAUUGGGACUGAGACACGGCCCAAACUCCUACGGGAGGCAGCAGUGGGGAAUAUUGCACAAUGGGGGAAACCCUGAUGCAGCGACGCCGCGUGAGUGAAGAAGUAUUUCGGUAUGUAAAGCUCUAUCAGCAGGGAAGAAAAUGACGGUACCUGAGUAAGAAGCCCCGGCUAACUACGUG
rnacentral:rRNA from 1 species